AGAUCAUGAGCUCGUGGUGUUCAGUCGCAGAUGACUUCUGUAGGAAUGGAUCUACACUGAUGUCUGUUUUAGUACUCCAGUCCUGGGGACCAACAGAGCUCCACAUUUUACAUGUCUCUCUUAUCAAAUACACACAGGUUCCUGAAUCAGGCCCCGUAUUCACAGAUUCUUUUAUCUUCUCCUCAACAUCAGAAAAAAAUUUAAGCUAAGAGUUUCUUUUACAACUUAUUCACAAAGCUGCAGAUUUAAAGGUUUAAGCUAAGAAUGAGGCGGGUUCAGCUCAUUGCUAUGGAUGUUGUCAGCAUGCUUAUUAACUAUGCACACAGUGACUGGAUGAUAAGCAGGUGAGGAGUCUCUGUCAGAAAUGUGUUGAUAGACACUUUGCAGAGGACAAUAUCAUGUAGCCAUGUUCAAAUAAAGGUUUUAAAAUGCA